CCCUUUGAUACUCUGGGCGGCACGCGCGCUACACUGGUUUAUAUAACGUGUAAUUUGGACGAUAGUCUGUAUAAAUCACUAAUAUAAAACCGUGAAUGGGAUAGUUUAUUGCAACUUACAAACUUUAACUAGGAAUCCCUUGUAGAAGUAGUGAAUUAUACUGCUUCGAAUACGUCCCUGCCGAUUGUACACACCGCCCGUCGUUUGUUCCGACUGGUACUCAUUGUGAAUUGCGAGGAGAUUCUGUCAAAUCGUUGUAAAUGCUGGGUAUUGGAGGAAGAAAAAGUCGUAACA
rnacentral:rRNA from 1 species